AUUGAACGCUGGCGGCAGGCCUAACACAUGCAAGUCGAACGAGUGGCGGACGGGUGAGUAAUGUAUGGGAAACUGCCCGUUGACGGGGGAUAACAAAUGGAAACGGUAGCUAAUACCGCAUACCAUCGGAUGUGCCCAGAUUGGAUUAGCUAGUAGGUGGGGUAACGGCUCACCUAGGCGACGAUCCCUAGCUGGUCUGAGAGGAGGACAUGCCACUCGGGAACGGAGCCACGGUCCAGAUGCCUCAGGGAGGCAGCAUUGGGGAUUAUUGCGCAAUGGGGGCAAGCCUAAUGGAGCACUGCCGCGUGUAGGAAAGAGGCCUGCGGGUUGUAAAGGACUUUCAGCGGGGCGGCGUUACCCGCAGAAGAAGCACCGGCUAACUCCGUGCCAGCAGCCGCGGUAAUAC
rnacentral:rRNA from 1 species